rnacentral:rRNA from 1 species
GACGAACGCUGGCGGCGUGCUUAACACAUGCAAGUCGAACGGAAAGGCCCUGCUUUUGUGGGGUGCUCGAGUGGCGAACGGGUGAGUAACACGUGAGUAACCUGCCCUUGACUUUGGGAUAACUUCAGGAAACUGGGGCUAAUACCGGAUAGGAGCUCCUGCUGCAUGGUGGGGGUUGGAAAGUUUCGGCGGCUGGGGAUGGACUCGCGGCUUAUCAGCUUGUUGGUGGGGUAGUGGCUUACCAAGGCUUUGACGGGUAGCCGGCCUGAGAGGGUGACCGGCCACAUUGGGACUGAGAUACGGCCCAGACUCCUACGGGAGGCAGCAGUGGGGAAUAUUGCACAAUGGGCGGAAGCCUGAUGCAGCAACGCCGCGUGCGGGAUGACGGCCUUCGGGUUGUAAACCGCUUUCGCCUGUGACGAAGCGUGAGUGACGGUAAUGGGUAAAGAAGCACCGGCUAACUACGUGCCAGCAGCCGCGGUGAUACGUAGGGUGCGAGCGUUGUCCGGAUUUAUUGGGCGUAAAGGGCUCGUAGGUGGUUGAUCGCGUCGGAAGUGUAAUCUUGGGGCUUAACCCUGAGCGUGCUUUCGAUACGGGUUGACUUGAGGAAGGUAGGGGAGAAUGGAAUUCCUGGUGGAGCGGUGGAAUGCGCAGAUAUCAGGAGGAACACCAGUGGCGAAGGCGGUUCUCUGGGCCUUUCCUGACGCUGAGGAGCGAAAGCGUGGGGAGCGAACAGGCUUAGAUACCCUGGUAGUCCACGCUGUAAACGGUGGGUACUAGGUGUGGGGUCCAUUCCACGGGUUCCGUGCCGUAGCUAACGCUUUAAGUACCCCGCCUGGGGAGUACGGCCGCAAGGCUAAAACUCAAAGGAAUUGACGGGGCCCCGCACAAGCGGCGGAGCAUGCGGAUUAAUUCGAUGCAACGCGUAGAACCUUACCUGGGUUUGACAUGGAUCGGGAGCGCUCAGAGAUGGGUGUGCCUCUUUUGGGGUCGGUUCACAGGUGGUGCAUGGCUGUCGUCAGCUCGUGUCGUGAGAUGUUGGGUUAAGUCCCGCAACGAGCGCAACCCUUGUUCACUGUUGCCAGCACGUUAUGGUGGGGACUCAGUGGAGACCGCCGGGGUCAACUCGGAGGAAGGUGGGGAUGGCGUCAAGUCAUCAUGCCCCUUAUGUCCAGGGCUUCACGCAUGCUACAAUGGCUGGUACAGAGAGUGGCGAGCCUGUGAGGGUGAGCGAAUCUCGGAAAGCCGGUCUCAGUUCGGAUUGGGGUCUGCAACUCGACCUCAUGAAGUCGGAGUCGCUAGUAAUCGCAGAUCAGCAACGCUGCGGUGAAUACGUUCCCGGG